rnacentral:rRNA from 1 species
GACGAACGCUAGCGGCGUGCUUAACACAUGCAAGUCGAACGGAAAGGCCCUGCUUUUGUGGGGUGCUCGAGUGGCGAACGGGUGAGUAACAUGUGAGUAACCUGCCCUUGACUUUGGGAUAACUUCAGGAAACUGGGGCUAAUAACGGAUAGGAGCUCCUGCUGCAUGGUGGGGGUUGGAACGUUUCGGCGGUUGGGGAUGGACUCGCGGCUUAUCAGCUUGUUGGUGGGGUAGUGGCUUACCAAGGCUUUGACGGGUAGCCGGCCUGAGAGGGUGACCGGCCACAUUGGGACUGAGAUACGGCCCAGAGUCCUACGGGAGGCAGCAGUGGGGAAUAUUGCACAAUGGGCCGAAGCCUGAUGCAGCAACGCCGCGUGCGGGAUGACAGCCUUCGGUUUGUAAGCCGCUUUCGCCUGUGACGAAGCGUGAGUGACGGUAAUGUGUAAAGAAGCACCGGCUAACUACGUG